ACAUCAGCCUGAAAACCACAAUUAUUACCACCACCGAUACCACAGGUAACGGGGCGGGCUGACGCGCACAGGAAACACAGAAAAAAGCCCGCACCUAAUCAGUGCGGGCUUUUUUUUC
rfam:Serratia marcescens subsp. marcescens Db11, complete genome